rnacentral:rRNA from 1 species
CCCUUAGAUGUUCUGGGCCGCACGCGCGCUACACUGAUGCAUUCAACGAGUCUAAAACCUGGUCUGAUAGGGCUGGGUAAUCUUUUGAAUGUGCAUCGUGAUUGGGAUAGAUGAUUGCAAUUCUUCAUCUUCAACGAGGAAUGCCUAGUAAACGCAAGUCAUCAGCUUGCAUUGAUUACGUCCCUGCCCUUUGUACACACCGCCCGUCGCUCCUACCGAUUGAGUGGUCCGGUGAGGCUUUGGGAUCUGGGCGGAAAGAGCGUUUCGCUGUUUCUGCCCGGAAAACUCAGUCGAACCUUAUCAUUUAGAGGAAGGAGAAGUCGUAACA